GGAAUGAAAUAGGGGGAUUUUUGGAGAGGAAAUGAGGAAAGGGGAUAAAAUUUGAAAUGUAAAUAAAAAAUAUUUAAUAAAAAAAACAAAAAAAGAAAAUUAGAAUUUAUCUUGGAAGAAAAAUAAAAAACACUUCUGAAGCCUCUGAGAUAUGGGACAGCUGUGACUUAUGUCUGAAGCCUUUGAUAUUUCUUUGCCUGUUAUGUUCACUAUCAGAAUUCUUAUAGGAGUCUACUUCUUACAAAGAUCUUUUUCAAAUUUUAUGUCCCAAUGUAUUAAUAGAAUAUUUUUAAAAUCAAUACAUCAGAAAAAUGCUUCUCUGAGUGCUUUUGGAUGCAUAGUGUGUAUGUGUGUGUGCAUACUCAUGUAUACACACAUGCUUGUGUGUUUUGACCAAAUCUACCCCCAUUCUUUUCCCUCCAGCUCCUCCUCUAUUGCCUCAUCCACUCUCUCUUCUAUCUUUGUGAGUUUUUAAAGACUACAUAAAUCCUCUCACCUUAUUCUUUGAAUCAGGUUCUCUCAUUAUUCCCAUAGUUGACCAAAAAAGCUAGGCUGCAAAGGGAGUAAACUUCAUGUAUCUAUGUGUCUACCUCUUCAAGUGCUAGGAUUAUGGGUGUACAACCACAAUGUCCAGAUGUCUGUAAAUGUGAGUUCUGGAUAAAGAAAUUCAAGUUGACCUGCUUGCAUGUCAGUGCUUUAUAAACACACUAUCUCUCCCAACUUCAUCAAUUAAUUUUGAUAUAUGUUGUACAAACAUGGAUACAAAGACAUAAGUCAGAGUCAGUGUUUUUUAAAAUGUGGAUUUGUCUACUCUUCUAAUACCAAUGAUGAAGGAGAAGGGUAAUGAACACAGUUAUUGCUAACUGCAGAUUGUAGAAUAUUUACCAAGUAUGUUUAAAAGGAUAUUUGUAGGACCUCAGAGAUGUGGCAUCUUACUUUAACCCACAGAUGAAUUUGAAACUUCGAACUGAUGCUUUAUGAGCAAGUAAUGGCAGCCUUAGGGAAUAGCCUAGUAAGGUAUUGUAGACAGUGCCCUUCAUAGAAAAAUCAGAUGUGUGAGUGGAUCACCCCCACCACAUCCUAAUCAUUGUGAUUUGAUUAUCACUACUGUGAUCACUUAGACUGUAAGACUUGAAGCCCAUACUCAAUCCCAGACAAGUUUCGUAAGGAGCUCAAGCUGGUGACUCAUAUUUCCCACCAUCCUCCCUUGAUGACCUCUCUGCUCCCUGUGCUCCCAUCAUCUCUAAAGAAAUAGUUGCUGUGCACAUGCCUGUUAAAUAGAAAAGUCUUUCUCAUAUAUUCCUCUAUGGUGGAAAAAGUUUAGGCAAAGAGAGGCCACACAUGUUAGCUACUCCCAGAUAAGAAUAGACUGGCCCCUGUUUACCGUCUUCAGGCAUGGAUAUUAUCAUUUCUGAUGACUGUCUCUAGGCAGGGAGAGACCUUUCUCCACUGACUCUCUUCUUGGGGAAGCCUUACCAGAUUGCACCUAGCUCUUCAGAGUCUAAAUUCUAUUCCAGUAGCAUCUUUCUUGGAAACUUGCUUAUUCUAUGUUAGUUCAGGUAUUUCUAACUCUAUCCAUUUUAAUAAAAGAGAAAAAUCACCUCAGUGCUAGGGAAACACAAAUAGACUUCUGACAGCUGCCCUACUUGCCUGUCGUGAUAUCUAAAAUUCCGUGUUUUGAAAAUGAUUCUUUUAAAUACACGGAAUGACUUCCCCAGUUGCCACUUCCUUAAAAGCAGAUGAACUUGAAAAUUUUGACAUAUGUGUGUUUUGCCAGCCAAAGGCAAACCAUCUAUUUAGAGAAUCGAUACUGCACACUUGCUAACCAUGUGUGCUUUGGAAUCAAAUGGCCUCGGGUUUGCGUUCCAGCCUGCCACAUUUAGAAUGUUAUCUUCGGCAGCUUUUCAAAAACCUUUCUGAGCCUCCUGCAUUCUUGUGAAAGAUGAGGUAAGAAUUCCACUUAUGGUGGAGUUAUGGUGACUACAUGGUAUAAGCUAUGUAAAGCAUUUGAAAGAUUUUGCCUGGAAAACAGUUCAAUGGGUAUGGGCAGUCUCUAUGCCUAAGGACCUGAGUUGGAUCCCCAUGAUCAACAUGGUAGAAAAAAAGAACUGACCUUGGCAGAUUGUUUUAUGAUAUUACAGAGAACGUAAUGAGCAUGGAUUCAUGUGUGGGUACUUGUAUAUGAGCAUACACAUAAAUAAAUAAAUCACACAAAAACCUGAAAUUAAAUAAAAUAUAAAUUUCAUUGCUACUGAUUUUUAGUAUAAGGCUCAUUCCACUUGCACAUGACUAGAGAGCAAGCUGGUAAACAACAUACUGGAGGAGACCAUGUCAACUUUAGGUGAAUAUAUUACUAAAAAUAUAACUAUAGCCAGGAAAAGUUAUAUAAAAUGUGUUCUAAGGUACUAAAUCUCACUGAUAAGAACCAAAUUCUGACAGUAGUAAGUCAGUAUAGGAUGGGCAAGGUGGCUCGGCAGGUCUAAGGGAGCUUGCUGCCAAGCCUGACAACCUGAGUUUGAUUCCCGGAACAUAGUGGGAAGAAAUCAUCAACUCCUAUGGUUGCCCUAUGAACUCUAUACACAUAUAUGGCAUAGAUGACCACACACAUACAUGCACAAAGAAGAUACAUAAAUGUAAAUAAUUAAAAAUUAAAAUCAACCAACAUAAUCUAUAUUUCAGAUAUUCCACACAUUUCUUUUCUCCAUAUCAUAAACUCAACAUUUGACUUCUUACAGAUUUUUAAAAUAAUUUGUGUGUGUGUGUCUGUGUGUUUAUGUGUCUCUGUGUGUGUGUACACACAUGCAUGCAUGUGUACUAGGUGCCCAUGGAUGCCACAAGAAGGCAUUCAAUUCCCUAGAGUAGGAGUUAAAAGUCUGAGCUGCCUCAUAUGGGGUUGGGAACAAAAUUCAAAUAAGGGCAGUAAAUGCUCUUAACCCCUGAGCUACCUCUCCACCCCUGUCAGCCCCUUGUUUUUAAUGGAAUGCCUGACAUUCUUUUGACUGUUACCUCCAGAAAAGAAAAGAGUUC
rnacentral:lncRNA from 1 species